UUGACCUCGGAUCGGGCAGGGAU
rnacentral:rRNA from 1 species